rnacentral:misc_RNA from 1 species
GGCAAACUUGGUCAUUUAGAGGAAGUAAAAGUCGUAACAAGGUUUCCGUAGGUGAACCUGCGGAAGGAUCAUUAGCAAAUCCGUGCUGGUUGCAUCGUGCGUGCUGCACAAUCGGUGCAAUUACGCUUGUUCCAUGUGCACGUUUGCUGCACAUUGCGAUACAUUUCUGCAAAUCGUCUGAUUGUCAUUCAAUGUCAAUAUCAACUUUUAACAAUGGAUCUCUAGGCUCCUGCAUCGAAUGAAGAACGCAGC